AGUGAACGCUGGCGGUAGGCCUAACACAUGCAAGUCGAACGGCAGCACAGUAAGAGCUUGCUCUUACGGGUGGCGAGUGGCGGACGGGUGAGGAAUACAUCGGAAUCUACUUUUUCGUGGGGGAUAACGUAGGGAAACUUACGCUAGUACCGCAUACGACCUACGGGUGAAAGCAGGGGAUCUUCGGACCUUGCGCGAUUGAAUGAGCCGAUGUCGGAUUAGCUAGUUGGCGGGGUAAAGGCCCACCAAGGCGACGAUCCGUAGCUGGUCUGAGAGGAUGAUCAGCCACCCGGGAACUGGGACAGGGUCCAGACUCCUACGGGAGGCAGCAGUGGGGAAUAUGGGACAAUGGCCGCAGGCCUGCUCCAGCCAUACCGCGGGGGUGAAGAAGGCCUUCGGGUUUUAAAGCCCUUUUGUUGGGAAAGAAAAGCAGCAGGUUAAUACCCCGCUGUUCUGACGGUACCCAAAGAAAAAGCACCGGCUAACUUCGUG
rnacentral:rRNA from 1 species